rnacentral:rRNA from 1 species
GAUGAACGCUGGCGGCGUGCCUAAUACAUGCAAGUCGAACGCAUGUUCUUUCACCGUAGCUUGCUACAGUGAACGAAAAAGAGGGGAGUAAGGGUGAGUAACACGUGGGUAACCAGCCCAACAGCGGGGGAUAACACUUGGAAACAGGUGCUGAUACCGCAUACUUCCAUUUACCGCAUGGAAGAUCGAUGAUAGGCGCUUUUGCGUCACGGACGGAUGGACACGCGGUGCAUUAGAAUGUUUGUGGGGUAACGGGCUACCAAGGAUGCGAUGCAUGGCCGACCUUGGAGGGUGGUCGGCCCCCAUUGGACUUAGAAACCGCCCAGACUUCUUCGGGAGGCAGCAGGAGGGAAUCUUCGGCAAAGGACCGAAGGCUUACCGGACAACGCCGCGGUGGUGAAGAAGGUUUUCGGAUCGUAAAACUCUUUUUUUAAGAGAGAACAAGGAGGGUAGUUGAAAGUGCACCCCUUGACGGUAUCUAACCAGAAAGCCACGGCUAACUACGUG